rnacentral:siRNA from 1 species
UAUGCAUGUGAUGUGGGAGAGGU